AAAGACAACGCAACCCGAUGAAUCAAACAAGAAUAAGGCAACCCGAUCCGACCCCCAGGAGUACGAAAGGAAGCCAGAAUAUUCUGGCACACAAAACUAGGAAAGUCGAUCGAGUCCCCAUGAAGAAGGGCAUACAGAAAACGGGCACGCACCAUAGGUAGAGAAGAGGUAUGGGCAACAGGCCACAGGUUUGUGCACACUAUGCGCAACAAGACCUGACGAUCAGUAGGCAAUGACCCCAUGGCCAUCGCCGUA
rnacentral:lncRNA from 1 species